GGUGGGGGUUGCAUGGUGCCAUCUGCUUCAUGAUGUCCUGGUGCUGUGUUAGCCAUUCGCCAUGAUGCAGUUUCACUCAUAAGUAAGCUAGGCGGAUGAGCAGUCCUUU